CCCUUAACUAUUAAAAGUUUCGUUUUUGUCCCUUAACUUAUUUUUUGGUUUCGUUUUGGUCCCUUAACUUAUUUUUUUGUUUCAUUUUGGUCCCUUAACUCUAAUACAUUCAUUAUAACAUAAAGGACCAAAGUGGUUGACAGAGGAAGAGUUAAGGGACCAAAACGAAAUCAAAAAGUAAGUUAAAGGACCAAAACGAAACUUUUAAUAGUUAAGGGACCAAAACGAAACCAAAAAGUAAGUUAAGGGACCAAAACGAAACUUUUAAUAGUUAAGGAA
rfam:Medicago truncatula strain A17 chromosome 7, whole genome shotgun sequence.